rnacentral:rRNA from 1 species
AAUAGAUACCCGGGUAGUCCACCCCGUAAACGUUGGGAACUAGUUGUGGGGUCCUUUCCACGGAUUCCGUGACGCAGCUAACGCAUUAAGUUCCCCGCCUGGGGAGUACGGCCGCAAGGCUAAAACUCAAAGGAAUUGACGGGGACCCGCACAAGCGGCGGAGCAUGCGGAUUAAUUCGAUGCAACGCGAAGAACCUUACCAAGGCUUGACAUACACCAGAACACCCUGGAAACAGGGGACUCUUUGGACACUGGUGAACAGGUAGUGCAUGGUUGUCGUCAGCUCGUGUCGUGAGAUGUUGGGUUAAGUCCCGCAACGAGCGCAACCCUCGUUCUAUGUUGCCAGCACGUAAUGGUGGGAACUCAUGGGAUACUGCCGGGGUCAACUCGGAGGAAGGUGGGGAUGACGUCAAAUCAUCAUGCCCCUUAUGUCUUGGGCUUCACGCAUGCUACAAUGGCCGGUACAAUGGGCUGCGAUACCGUAAGGUGGAGCGAAUCCCAAAAAGCCGGUCCAGUUCGGAUUGAGGUCUGCAACGUCGACCGUCA